UUGAACCAAUUGAACAAUAAAAAGUGUUAUAAUCCUUUUUCCUCUUCUAUCGGUCUUGCUAUUAUCAUCUUUAACUCAUCACCAUGCUCAACCAUAAUCAUCAUCAUUCACAGUUUUGGGAUUUAUGGUUUUACACUUUUCAAAAGGAUGAAUAAAGACGAUGAUGAUGAUGAGAAGUGUUCAUCUUUCCAGUACAAUAAUGAUGUUAAUAUACAAUAGAAAAGGGAACCCAAAAUUUGAACCAAAAAAUCGUAUCUUCAUCUUUCUGUAUUAACUUUAACUUAUAGUUUUGAUAUUUUUGCCAUUUCCCCAUCUCAUUGAAACUUAAAGAUGCACACACAUAUUUAUGACCAGUUGGAAUCUCAAUGGACUUUAGACACAUCAACACAAAGCUUCAUUUGGACAUGAAAAUUGAAUCAAGGCUCAUGAUAGGCAAUUAAAAUGGAUCCUCAAAAUUUCAAUGACUGAUGGAACCACAGUGAUAUUAUUGGUGGCCAAUUUAAGACUGACCAUUGUUGGAUCUGUCCAUGAUCUUCAACUUUAUAAGUACAAAGAAGUACAAGUAUAAAUAAGCUGAUUUAUCUGAUUCCCUGCUGUGAACUGAAAACUUCUGAAAGAUAUUUUUCUAACUCAUCGGCAGUCUAAUUAUCAUUAAGACAUUUUACUGACACCAUGUUUUAUUAAUACUUUGCUCUGUUAGCUGUUCAAAACUAAUUACUUUGAUUAAAUGGAUCACAAUGUUGAGAAUGAAAAUGAAUGAAUGUUAAAGAAAAAUCUCAUAAAUUCUCAUUAAACUGACUUCUAUUAUUGUACGAGUUGUUUUUUAAAUAACAUUAAUUAACAUUCAUUCCAUUCAUUUCCAAA